GGGUUGUGAGGUUAAGCGACUAAGCGUACACGGUGGAUGCCCUGGCAGUCAGAGGCGAUGAAGGGCGUGCUAAUCUGCGAUAAGCGCCGGUAAGGUGAUAUGAACCGUUAUAACCGGCGAUACCCGAAUGGGGAAACCCAGUGUGACUCGUCACACUAUCAUUAACUGAAUCCAUAGGUUAAUGAGGCGAACCGGGGGAACUGAAACAUCUAAGUACCCCGAGGAAAAGAAAUCAACCGAGAUUCCCCCAGUAGCGGCGAGCGAACGGGGAGGAGCCCAGAGCCUGAAUCAGCAUGUGUGUUAGUGGAAGCGUCUGGAAAGGCGCGCGAUACAGGGUGACAGCCCCGUACACAAAAGCGCAUGUGCUGUGAGCUCGAUGAGUAGGGCGGGACACGUGGUAUCCUGUCUGAAUAUGGGGGGACCAUCCUCCAAGGCUAAAUACUCCUGACUGACCGAUAGUGAACCAGUACCGUGAGGGAAAGGCGAAAAGAACCCCGGCGAGGGGAGUGAAAAAGAACCUGAAACCGUGUACGUACAAGCAGUGGGAGCACAGGUUUACCUGUGUGACUGCGUACCUUUUGUAUAAUGGGUCAGCGACUUAUAUUCUGUAGCAAGGUUAACCGAAUAGGGGAGCCGGAGGGAAACCGAGUCUUAAUUGGGCGUUAAGUUGCAGGGUAUAGACCCGAAACCCGGUGAUCUAGCCAUGGGCAGGUUGAAGGUUGGGUAACACUAACUGGAGGACCGAACCGACUAAUGUUGAAAAAUUAGCGGAUGACCUGUGGCUGGGGGUGAAAGGCCAAUCAAACCGGGAGAUAGCUGGUUCUCCCCGAAAGCUAUUUAGGUAGCGCCUCGUGAAUUCAUCUCCGGGGGUAGAGCACUGUUUCGGCUAGGGGGCCAUCCCGGCUUACCAACCCGAUGCAAACUGCGAAUACCGGAGAAUGUUAUCACGGGAGACACACGGCGGGUGCUAACGUCCGUCGUGAAGAGGGAAACAACCCAGACCGCCAGCUAAGGUCCCAAAGUCAUGGUUAAGUGGGAAACGAUGUGGGAAGGCCCAGACAGCCAGGAUGUUGGCUUAGAAGCAGCCAUCAUUUAAAGAAAGCGUAAUAGCUCACUGGUCGAGUCGGCCUGCGCGGAAGAUGUAACGGGGCUAAACCAUGCACCGAAGCUGCGGCAGCGACACUGUGUGUUGUUGGGUAGGGGAGCGUUCUGUAAGCCUGUGAAGGUGUGUCGUGAGGCAUGCUGGAGGUAUCAGAAGUGCGAAUGCUGACAUAAGUAACGAUAAAGCGGGUGAAAAGCCCGCUCGCCGGAAGACCAAGGGUUCCUGUCCAACGUUAAUCGGGGCAGGGUGAGUCGACCCCUAAGGCGAGGCCGAAAGGCGUAGUCGAUGGGAAACAGGUUAAUAUUCCUGUACUUGGUGUUACUGCGAAGGGGGGACGGAGAAGGCUAUGUUGGCCGGGCGACGGUUGUCCCGGUUUAAGCGUGUAGGUGUGUGUUCCAGGUAAAUCCGGUUCACUUUAACACUGAGGCGUGAUGACGAGGCACUACGGUGCUGAAGCAACAAAUGCCCUGCUUCCAGGAAAAGCCUCUAAGCAUCAGGUAACAUCAAAUCGUACCCCAAACCGACACAGGUGGUCAGGUAGAGAAUACCAAGGCGCUUGAGAGAACUCGGGUGAAGGAACUAGGCAAAAUGGUGCCGUAACUUCGGGAGAAGGCACGCUGACACGUAGGUGAAGUGAUUUACUCAUGGAGCUGAAGUCAGUCGAAGAUACCAGCUGGCUGCAACUGUUUAUUAAAAACACAGCACUGUGCAAACACGAAAGUGGACGUAUACGGUGUGACGCCUGCCCGGUGCCGGAAGGUUAAUUGAUGGGGUCAGCGCAAGCGAAGCUCCUGAUCGAAGCCCCGGUAAACGGCGGCCGUAACUAUAACGGUCCUAAGGUAGCGAAAUUCCUUGUCGGGUAAGUUCCGACCUGCACGAAUGGCGUAAUGAUGGCCAGGCUGUCUCCACCCGAGACUCAGUGAAAUUGAACUCGCUGUGAAGAUGCAGUGUACCCGCGGCAAGACGGAAAGACCCCGUGAACCUUUACUAUAGCUUGACACUGAACAUUGAGCCUUGAUGUGUAGGAUAGGUGGGAGGCUUUGAAGCGUGGACGCCAGUCUGCGUGGAGCCGACCUUGAAAUACCACCCUUUAAUGUUUGAUGUUCUAACGUGGACCCGUAAUCCGGGUUGCGGACAGUGUCUGGUGGGUAGUUUGACUGGGGCGGUCUCCUCCUAAAGAGUAACGGAGGAGCACGAAGGUUGGCUAAUCCUGGUCGGACAUCAGGAGGUUAGUGCAAUGGCAUAAGCCAGCUUGACUGCGAGCGUGACGGCGCGAGCAGGUGCGAAAGCAGGUCAUAGUGAUCCGGUGGUUCUGAAUGGAAGGGCCAUCGCUCAACGGAUAAAAGGUACUCCGGGGAUAACAGGCUGAUACCGCCCAAGAGUUCAUAUCGACGGCGGUGUUUGGCACCUCGAUGUCGGCUCAUCACAUCCUGGGGCUGAAGUAGGUCCCAAGGGUAUGGCUGUUCGCCAUUUAAAGUGGUACGCGAGCUGGGUUUAGAACGUCGUGAGACAGUUCGGUCCCUAUCUGCCGUGGGCGCUGGAGAACUGAGGGGGCUGCUCCUAGUACGAGAGGACCGGAGUGGACGCAUCACUGGUGUUCGGGUUGUCAUGCCAAUGGCACUGCCCGGUAGCUAAAUGCGGAAGAGAUAAGUGCUGAAAGCAUCUAAGCACGAAACUUGCCCCGAGAUGAGUUCUCCCUGAGACUUAGAGUCUCCUGAAGGAACGUUGAAGACGACGACGUUGAUAGGCCGGGUGUGUAAGCGCAGCGAUGCGUUGAGCUAACCGGUACUAAUGAACCGUGAGGCUUAACCUUACAACGCCGAAGCUGUU
rnacentral:rRNA from 1 species